GUGCCCGCUUCAGCGGCACAUAUACCAAAAUUGGAAGGAUACAGAGACGAUUAGCAUGGCCCUGUGCAAGGAUGAUAUGCAAAUUUGUGAAACGUUCCAUAUUUUU